GAUGAAUGCUGGCGGCGUGCCUAAUACAUGCAAGUCGUACGGAAAGGCCCUUCGGGGUACUCGAGUGGCGGACGGCUGAGUAACGCGUGGGAACGUGCCCCAAAGUGAGGGAUAACGCACCGAAAGGUGUGCUAAUACCGCAUAUGGUCUUCGGAUUAAAGCUUCGGCGCUUUGGGAGCGGCCGAUGUCAGAUUAGCUAGUUGGUGAGGUAAAGGCUCACCAAGGCGACGAUCUGUAGCGGGUCUGAGAGGAUGAUCCGCCACACUGGGACUGAGACACGGCCCAGACUCCUACGGGAGGCAGCAGUGGGGAAUUUUGGACAAUGGGGGCAACCCUGAUCCAGCCAUGCCGCGUGAGUGAAGAAGGCCUUCGGGUUGUAAAGCUCUUUCGGCCGGGAAGAAAUCGCACAGGCUAAUACUCUGUGUGGAUGACGGUACCGGCAUAAGAAGCACCGGCUAACUACGUGCCAGCCGCCGCGGUAA
rnacentral:rRNA from 1 species